AAUCGAGCAUUGUGCCACUGUCUGUUUCUUUCUCCUGGGGCUAAAACUGUGCUCUCGGCAUAUGAACAAACAGUACAACUGCUCCUCCCUUCAACUAUGAGGAUUUAAACUUGUCUCUGUUAAAAGACCUCCAUGAAAUUCACGGUAAGCGCAUACAUUAUUUAACCAUCAACAAAUAAAAAUGGCUCCAUGUGGUUUGCUACAUCCACUGUCCUUAGUCUCCUUUGAAAGUAAAAUGCAAUUCACUGCAAGUCAAGAUCUCUCCUUUACAAGAAGCACAUUUCUCAAGCUAACAGAGACCAAGAGCCAAAGUGAUGUGUGGAGCAUCAAGCCUCCAGAUUUCUCUCUGAAACUGUAUAGAUGCCUGUCUGUUCCUCGAAAGAAAGAAGAAAAGAACAUUUUAAAACUAACUGUACCUCAGUGCGGUGAAACAAAGAGGAGAACUGGAAUUUUCCUACCAAAUGUUGUGCAUGUGAAUCCUGAGAGGAAAGACCCUCCGAAGUUCAUCACAUCGUACAGAGCACUGGAUGCUCUGGAGUCUGAACUGAUGUUUGUAAAGAUGGGAAAAUAUAAUUCUGGACCUUACAAAAACCCUAAACCUCACAACUUCAGACCACUUGAUGAGGACCUUCCAGAUAUAAUAACUGCAUAUGAGAGAGACCCUGGCAACCUGAAUUUAAAAUUAACAAACUUGGAUACAUUGGGGCCCACCAGAUCUGAGACAGACUUCAAGUGCAGAGAUACCAAGACACAAAUGGGCACCUAUAAACCUGCAGAGCCUAAAUGGGAUCCAAAGCUCAUCCUCCCUCCGCUGCCCUGGCCUCCAAAAUCAGCUUCCUAUACGAGACACCAACGAAGAAGAGGAGCAUACAGUGCGUUCUUGGACCGUGUGGAAGAGAAACUCUGUAGACAGUGGGAAAAUAAAUCAUGACUCUUUUUUUCCUCUUUAUCUUUUCAAAGUAAUAAUUAAGUGAUCAAUUUUGCUGUUUAAUGUGGA
ensembl:lncRNA